rnacentral:rRNA from 1 species
AUACGUAGGGGGCGAGCGUUGUCCGGAAUUACUGGGCGUAAAGGGUACGCAGGCGGCCAUGUAAGUCAGAUGUGAAAGACUAGGGCUUAACCUUAGCAAGCAUUUGAAACUGUGUGGCUUGAGUUAAGGAGAGGAAAGUGGAAUUCCUGGUGUAGCGGUGAAAUGCGUAGAUAUCAGGAGGAAUACCAGUGGCGAAGGCGACUUUCUGGCCUUAAACUGACGCUGAGGUACGAAAGCGUGGGGAGCAAACAGGAUUAGAUACCCUGGUAGUCCACGCUGUAAACGAUGAGUGCUAGGUGUCGGGUGUCAAAGCUCGGUGCCGCAGUUAACACAUUAAGCACUCCGCCUGGGGAGUACGUUCGCAAGAAUGAAACUCAAAUGAAUUGACGGGG